rnacentral:rRNA from 1 species
UACGUAGGGUGCAAGCGUUGUCCGGAAUUAUUGGGCGUAAAGAGCUCGUAGGCGGUUUGUUGCGUCGGCUGUGAAAUCCCGAGGCUCAACCUCGGGUCUGCAGUCGAUACGAGCAAACUAGAGUGUUGCAGGGGAGACUGGAAUUCCUGGUGAUAGCGGUGAAAUGCGCAGAUAUCAGGAGGAACACCGGUGGCGAAGGCGGGUCUCUGGGCAACA